rnacentral:rRNA from 1 species
GAUGAACGCUGGCGGCGUGCCUAAUACAUGCAAGUCGAGCGAACAGACGAGGAGCUUGCUCCUCUGACGUUAGCGGCGGACGGGUGAGUAACACGUGGAUAACCUACCUAUAAGACUGGGAUAACUUCGGGAAACCGGAGCUAAUACCGGAUAAUAUAUUGAACCGCAUGGUUCAAUAGUGAAAGACGGUUUUGCUGUCACUUAUAGAUGGCUCCGCGCCGCAUUAGCUAGUUGGUAAGGUAACGGCUUACCAAGGCAACGAUGCGUAGCCGACCUGAGAGGGUGAUCGGCCACACUGGAACUGAGAGACGGUCCAGACUCCUACGGGAGGCAGCAGUAGGGAAUCUUCCGCAAUGGGCGAAAGCCUGACGGAGCAACGCCGCGUGAGUGAUGAAGGUCUUCGGAUCGUAAAACUCUGUUAUUAGGGAAGAACAAAUGUGUAAGUAACUAUGCACGUCUUGACGGUACCUAAUCAGAAAGCCACGGCUAACUACGUG